rnacentral:rRNA from 1 species
CGGAAGGAUCAUUACCGAGUGAGGGCCCUCCGGGUCCAACCUCCCACCCGUGUCUAUUGUACCUUGUUGCUUCGGCGGGCCCGCCGUUCUCUCGAACGGCCGCCGGGGAGGGCCUCGUGCCCCCGGGCCCGCGCCCGCCGAAGACCCCAACAUGAACUCUGUUCUGAAAGUAUGCAGUCUGAGUUUGAUUACCAUAAUCAAUCAAAACUUUCAACAACGGAUCUCUUGGUUCCGGCAUCGAUGAAGAACGCAGCGAAAUGCGAUAAGUAAUGUGAAUUGCAGAAUUCAGUGAAUCAUCGAGUCUUUGAACGCACAUUGCGCCCCCUGGUAUUCCGGGGGGCAUGCCUGUCCGAGCGUCAUUGCUGCCCUCAAGCACGGCUUGUGUGUUGGGCCCCCGUCCCCGGUUCACCCCGGGGACGGGCCCGAAAGGCAGCGGCGGCACCGCGUCCGAUCCUCGAGCGUAUGGGGCUUUGUCACCCGCUMUGUAGGCCCGGCCGGCGCCAGCCGACACCCCAACUUUAUUUUCUAAGGUUGACCUCGGAUCAGGUAGGGAUACCCGCUGAACUUAAGCAUA